rnacentral:rRNA from 1 species
UACGGAGGGGACUAGCGUUGUUCGGAAUUACUGGGCGUAAAGCGCACGUAGGCGGAUUUGUAAGUCAGGGGUGAAAUCCCGGGGCUCAACCCCGGAACUGCCUUUGAUACUGCGAAUCUCGAGUCCGGAAGAGGUGAGUGGAAUUCCUAGUGUAGAGGUGAAAUUCGUAGAUAUUAGGAAGAACACCAGUGGCGAAGGCGGCUCACUGGUCCGGUACUGACGCUGAGGUGCGAAAGCAUGGGGAGCGAACGGG